AGCUCCACUAGCGUAUAUUAAAGUUGCUGCAGUUAAAAAGCUCGUAGUUGGAUUUGUGGAGCGGCCACCCGGCGCGGUGCCAGCGCUUCGUAGCAGGUGUUCGCUAGUCCCGGCUUCGCGGCCGCUCCUUUCUCGGGAAGCGAGUGGCUGGCAUUAGGUUGUCGGCCGCUUCGCGCCCGUCUUUUACUGUGAAAAAAUUAGAGUGUUCAAAGCAGGCUUAGGCCGUUGGAUACAUUAGCAUGGAAUAAUGAGAUAAGGCCGCGGUGGUGGUCUUUUCUGUUGGUUUGCCCACACGCCGCAAUGAUUAAAAGGAACGGUUGGGGGUAUUCGUAUUCAACUGUCAGAGGUGAAAUUAUUCUUGGAUUUGUGGAAGACGAACUUCUGCGAAAGCAUUUACCACGGAUGUUUUCA
rnacentral:rRNA from 1 species